rnacentral:rRNA from 1 species
AGAGUUUGAUCAUGGCUCAGAUUGAACGCUGGCGGCAGGCCUAACACAUGCAAGUCGAGCGCGAAAGUUCCUUCGGGGGCAAGUAGAGCGGCGGACGGGUGAGUAACGCGUAGAAAUCUGCCCAGUAGUGGGGGAUAACCCGAGGAAACUCGGGCUAAUACCGCAUACGUCCUACGGGAGAAAGUGGGGGACCUUUCGGGGCCUCACGCUAUUGGAUGAGUCUGCGUCGGAUUAGCUUGUUGGUAGGGUAAUGGCCUACCAAGGCGACGAUCCGUAGCUGGUCUGAGAGGAUGAUCAGCCACACUGGACUGAGACACGGCCCAGACUCCUACGGGAGGCAGCAGUGGGGAAUAUUGGACAAUGGGGGAAACCCUGAUCCAGCCAUGCCGCGUGUGUGAAGAAGGCUUUCGGGUUGUAAAGCACUUUCAGUGGGGAGGAAAUGCUCUGGGUUAAUAGCCCAGGGAGUUGACGUUACCCACAGAAGAAGCACCGGCUAAUUCCGUGCCAGCAGCCGCGGUAAUACGGAAGGUGCGAGCGUUAAUCGGAAUUACUGGGCGUAAAGCGCGCGUAGGUGGCUUGGUCAGUCGGUUGUGAAAGCCCUGGGCUCAACCUGGGAACUGCAUCCGAUACUGCCAGGCUCGAGUACAAGAGAGGAGAGUGGAAUUCCAGGUGUAGCGGUGAAAUGCGUAGAGAUCUGGAGGAACAUCAGUGGCGAAGGCGGCUCUCUGGCUUGAUACUGACGCUGAGGUGCGAAAGCGUGGGGAGCAAACAGGAUUAGAUACCCUGGUAGUCCACGCCGUAAACGAUGUCGACUAGCCGUUGGUCUCCUUGAGGGAUUAGUGGCGCAGCUAACGCGAUAAGUCGACCGCCUGGGGAGUACGGCCGCAAGGUUAAAACUCAAAGGAAUUGACGG